rnacentral:lncRNA from 1 species
AUUCAGGGCGAACAAUGCCAUCAGGGAGAACCAGAAACUCAGGGAAGAACUCAGGAGAACGGAAACCAUAGUAUCAAUUUAUACCAAACAUCGCUGGUGGAUGGAGGAGCAAGCUUCCAGGUCAUAUGAGAUGAUUAGGUUCACCGAGUACAGGCCUUCACUGAUUCAUCGUGUAGUCAGUGACCGAGAUGCAAUUUUUCUUGGAACUGGUAGUUAUGGGUCUGUUCUUCAGUGCAAAAUUGGUGAGAAGACUGUUGCUGUAAAGAUUCCCAAUAACAGAGACAGCCGCCAACCUCUGCCAAGCAUGCGAGAGUUUAAUCAAGAGGCAAAUAGAAGAGCUCUGAAAAUGCAGGUUGCCAUCCUCAAAAAGAUCCGGCAUCAAAAUCUUGUCACCCUCAUAGGAGCAUGUCCAGAGAGACAGAUACUCAUCUACGAGUUCUUGCCUAAUGGCUCCCUGAAAGAUCACCUCACUGAAAGUGGACAAAGGAGGAGGUUCACAUGGAAAAGACGAGUGAGAGCUGCCUCCAGCAUAUGCUCCGCUCUCAUCUUCCUCCACAACACCGAGCCCAACCCAAUCGUCCAUGGUAAUCUCAAAACGAGCAACAUCCUCUUCAGUAAAGACAAUGUAUGCAAGCUUAGCAACUUUGCCAUGUCCCAUCUGCUGCAAUACACUUCCAAACCUGUCUCGUUUUGGGGUGGUCUUAAGGGAUUUGCAAGAAUGUUGAUUGGUUCUGACACCCACAAGAUUCAGCUAGAUGUGUCCGCUCUGGGCAUUAUACUUUUGCAACUUGUUACAGCACAAAAACCAAAGGAUUUGAGAAAGAAUGUGCUCAGCAAACUAGGAGAUAUUAUACGAUUCCAAGGGAAGAGCAUGGAGCAGCAACAUGAGGUCCUAAAAAGCAUUGUGGAUCCUGACCUGAAGAAAUGCCAGUUAGAUGACGCCGCAGAGAUGCUGUUCCUGGGAUUGAAAUGCAGUGAUCCAAAUGAGAAACAUCGUCCAGACCUUGCAGCUGAUGUGUGGCCACUCAUCGAGGAAAUGAAGAGUAGUGCCUCUCAUCGUCAGGGUUGA